CGGUUGAUCCUGCCGGACCUGACUGCUAUCGGAUUGAUACUAAGCCAUGCGAGUCAUUGUAGUAAUACAAGGCAGACGGCUCAGUAACGCGUAGUCAACCUAACCUAUGGACGGGAAUAACCUCGGGAAACUGAGUAUAAUGCCCGAUAGAACAUUAUGCCUGGAAUGGUUUAUGUUCCAAAUGAUUUAUCGCCGUAGGAUGGGACUGCGGCCUAUCAGUUUGUUGGUGAGGUAAUGGCCCACCAAGACUAUUACAGGUACGGGCUCUGAGAGGAGUAGCCCGGAGAUGGGUACUGAGACACGGACCCAGGCCCUAUGGGGCGCAGCAGGCGAGAAAACUUUGCAAUGUGCGAAAGCACGACAAGGUUAAUCCGAGUGGUUUCUGCUAAAGGAACCUUUUGUUAGUCCUAGAAACACUAACGAAUAAGGGGUGGGCAAGUCCUGGUGUCAGCCGCCGCGGUAAGACCAGCACCUCAAGUGGUCAGGAUGAUUAUUGGGCCUAAAGCAUCCGUAGCCGGCUCUGUAAGUUUUCGGUUAAAUCUGUACGCUCAACGUACAGGCUGCCGGGAAUACUGCAGAGCUAGGGAGUGGGAGAGGUAGACGGUACUCGGUAGGAAGGGGUAAAAUCCUUUGAUCUAUUGAUGACCACCUGUGGCGA
rnacentral:rRNA from 1 species